rnacentral:rRNA from 1 species
UCCGGUUGAUCCUGCCGGAGGUCAUUGCUAUUGGGGUCCGAUUUAGCCAUGCUAGUUGCACGAGUUUAGACUCGUUGCGGAAAGCUCAGUAACACGUGGACAAACUACCCUACGGAGAACGAUAACCUCGGGAAACUGAGGCUAAUAGUUCAUAGGGGAGUCGCGCUGGAAAUGCCGACUCCCCCAAACGCUCCGGCGCCGUAGGAUGUGUCUGCGGCCGAUUAGGUAGACGGNAUAGUUCAUAGGGGAGUCGCGCUGGAAAUGCCGACUCCCCCAAACGCUCCGGCGCCGUAGGAUGUGUCUGCGGCCGAUUAGGUAGACGGUGGGGUAACGGCCCACCGUGCCGAUAAUCGGUACGGGUUGUGAGAGCAAGAGCCCGGAGACGGAAUCUGAGACAAGAUUCCGGGCCCUACGGGGCGCAGCAGGCGCGAAACCUUUACACUGCACGCAAGUGCGAUAAGGGGACCCCAAGUGCGAGGGCAUAUAGUCCUCGCUUUUCUCGACUGUAAGGCGGUCGAGGAAUAAGAGCUGGGCAAGACCGGUGCCAGCCGCCGCGGUAAUACCGGCAGCUCAAGUGAUGACCGAUAUUAUUGGGCCUAAAGCGUCCGUAGCCGGCCAUGAAGGUUCAUCGGGAAAUCCGCCAGCUCAACUGGCGGGCGUCCGGUGAAAACCACAUGGCUUGGGACCGGAAGGCUCGAGGGGUACGUCCGGGGUAGGAGUGAAAUCCCGUAAUCCUGGACGGACCACCGAUGGCGAAAGCACCUCGAGAAGACGGAUCCGACGGUGAGGGACGAAAGCUAGGGUCUCGAACCGGAUUAGAUACCCGGGUAGUCCUAGCUGUAAACGAUGCUCGCUAGGUGUGACACAGGCUACGAGCCUGUGUUGUGCCGUAGGGAAGCCGAGAAGCGAGCCGCCUGGGAAGUACGUCCGCAAGGAUGAAACUUAAAGGAAUUGGCGGGGGAGCACUACAACCGGAGGAGCCUGCGGUUUAAUUGGACUCAACGCCGGACAUCUCACCAGCUCCGACUACAGUGAUGACGAUCAGGUUGAUGACCUUAUCACGACGCUGUAGAGAGGAGGUGCAUGGCCGCCGUCAGCUCGUACCGUGAGGCGUCCUGUUAAGUCAGGCAACGAGCGAGACCCGCACUUCUAAUUGCCAGCAGCAGUUUCGACUGGCUGGGGACAUUAGAAGGACUGCCGCUGCUAAAGCGGAGGAAGGAACGGGCAACGGUAGGUCAGUAUGCCCCGAAUGAGCUGGGCUACACGCGGGCUACAAUGGUCGAGACAAUGGGUUGCUAUCUCGAAAGAGAACGCUAAUCUCCUAAACUCGAUCGUAGUUCGGAUUGAGGGCUGAAACUCGCCCUCAUGAAGCUGGAUUCGGUAGUAAUCGCAUUUCAAUAGAGUGCGGUGAAUACGUCCCUGCUCCUUGCACACACCGCCCGUCAAAGCACCCGAGUGAGGUCCGGAUGAGGCCACCACACGGUGGUCGAAUCUGGGCUUCGCAAGGGGGCUUAAGUCGUAACAAGGUAGCCGUAGGGGAAUCUGCGGCUG